rnacentral:rRNA from 1 species
GACGAACGCUGGCGGCGUGCCUAAUACAUGCCAGUCGAACGCACAGUUUAUACCGUAGCUUGCUACACCAUAGACUGUGAGUUGCGAACGGGUGAGUAACGCGUAGGUAACCUGCUUGGUAGCGGGGGAUAACUAUUGGAAACGAUAGCUAAUACCGCAUAAUAUUGAUUAUUGCAUGAUAAUUGAUUGAAAGAUGCUAUUGCAUCACUACCAGAUGGACCUGCGUUGUAUUAGCUAGUAGGUGAGGUAACGGCUCACCUAGGCGAGGAUACAUAGCCGAACGGAGAGGGUGAUCGGCCACACUGGGACUGAGACACGGCCCAGACUCCUACGGGAGGCAGCAGUAGGGAAUCUUCGGCAAUGGACGAAAGUCUGACCGAGCAACGCCGCGUGAGUGAAGAAGGUUUUCGGAUCGUAAAGCUCUGUUGUAAGAGAAGAACGGGUGUGAGAGUGGAAAGUUCACACUGUGACGGUAUCUUACCAGAAAGGGACGGCUAACUACGUG